GACGAACGCUGGCGGCGUGCUUAACACAUGCAAGUCGAACGCUGAAGCUUGGUGCUUGCACUGGGUGGAUGAGUGGCGAACGGGUGAGUAAUACGUGAGUAACCUGCCCUUGACUCUGGGAUAAGCCUGGGAAACUGGGUCUAAUACUGGAUACGACAUGUCACCGCAUGGUGGUGUGUGGAAAGGGUUUUACUGGUUUUGGAUGGGCUCACGGCCUAUCAGCUUGUUGGUGGGGUAAUGGCUCACCAAGGCGACGACGGGUAGCCGGCCUGAGAGGGUGACCGGCCACAAUGGGACUGAGACACGGCCCAGACUCCUACGGGAGGCAGCAGUGGGGAAUAUUGCACAAUGGGCGGAAGCCUGAUGCAGCGACGCCGCGUGAGGGAUGACGGCCUUCGGGUUGUAAACCUCUUUCAGCACGGAAGAAGCGAAAGUGACGGUACGUGCAGAAGAAGCGCCGGCUAACUACGUG
rnacentral:rRNA from 1 species